rfam:Oryza barthii chromosome 11, whole genome shotgun sequence.
CCCAUCGAUGAGGAAGAAUUGAUCGAGUAUAUCAUCACUGGACUCGGAGAAGGCUACAGUGAGGUCAUCUCAGCCGUCUGCGCAAGGGUAGAGCCCAUCUCUGUAAGUGAUCUGUAUUCACAGGUUCUGAACUUCGAAG